GCCAGGCAGCCGCCGCCAUGGGCUCGCUGCGGGAGCGCUGUGCCAGGGUUUUUAAAGUGUGUGAUGAAGAUAACAAAGGCUAUUUGAACAGAGAGGACUUGGAAGUUGCUGUAGUAAUGUUGUUUGGUUAUAAGCCCUCAGAGGUGGAGGUGGAUUCGAUAAUGUCUUCUGUGAGACCAGAAAAUUCAGGUAUGUUAUUUGAAAAGUUUUUAAAUCUCAUGAGUGCAAAGAAAUCUGCACAAUUGUAUAGUGAUGAAACAAGGGAAAUAUUCACAGCUUUUGACACGCAAGAUAAAGGAUUCUUGACUUUUGAAGACUUUAAGAAAACCUUCAAUUCUGUUCUUCCAAAAUUAUCUGAGAGAAUCAUAAUUGAAGCCUUCAGGACAAGAUGAGAAUGAUGGCAGAAGAGUUUGGUAUAUCCUUGCUUCCACCUUCCUGUUAUGAAAGCACAGAACAUCUGUGGGAGAAUUAUCUCUGGAGGGGCCUUGAUGGAGAGUACCAACCAGUCUUCACAUGAAGACACUCUAUGCUCCUCAGCACUUAUCUGCAAUCUACAUCCUUGACAGAUCAAUCUUAAUAUCACAAAUGCCUACAUAGUUGAUGGCCUGCAACAAGUACCUUGCAGCUUGGGAGAUGCAUCCCCAGACUUCCCUAACCCAGCUGAGGACGGAGGGAGCAGCCUCGUACAUCCCAGGUACACCUCUCCUCCCAGUUAGGAGGACAUUAUUGCUUCCGGAGUACACGCUGUCCAUUCUUUAACCAGACAAGAGUGGAUAAGAAAGGUAUAUGGUUGUUUUAUGCAGGCAAGACAAGGGACAAAAAUGUUGGUUGGUAACAAUGAAAGCUGUUACUAAAGAAAAGAGCUGUAGAGAGAAAAAUGCCAAUCUGCUUUAUCAAUUAAGAUCUUCUCAAGCUGUUUCACCACUUCCUAGCCCAGGAAACUUCCCUCCUCCUCACUACCCCCCUGGCCAGGUGUGUACUGGGGCUGCCUAGGGCUGCUCUCUCAGGCAGGGAGGUGAGCCCUUUUCCUGCAAGCCAGGCAUCUUAUGUUAAGGAUGUGGUAGUAAAAUAUCAUAAAUUGCAAUAAUUGAGGGGAACAAAGACAUUUUACUAUCACUUCAUUAGAGUUGCACCAUCCUUUCUAUGCUGAGCUUUUUUUAAAGACCAGAAAUGAUGUGUCUGUUAGAUUAAGCAUCCAUCUCUGUGUAUCUGUACAGUUAAUUUAAGGGUGACACUCUUAGCCAGGUCCCAUCAGGAGGAAAAGGAUAAUACACUAUUAAAGUUGCAAUUACUGUAUUAGGCUCAAAAUGUAAAUCCAUAUACCAGCUGUUAUAAUCUAGCAAAGAAGGAGGGGGAAGUCUGGCAAAUAGUUCUUGUGGGUUUUUAUAUAGCUGCUCAUAACAGUGAAAUUAAAUGAAUACAUGUGUAUGUGUGUACAGCUAGAUUUAUAGACUCUCUUUAAAAUGUAAGCACUUCAAGUCCCGCUGAAGUAGCAGAAAACAAGCUGGGAUUGUUCCACCUGCGUAACUGGCCUUCAGCUUUCGUGUGUUCAGAUAUGUUUUGCAAUGCCAGAGGGACUCACCUAUGCCUCAAGCUCAGCUGUUUCUUGGGGCAGGUGUGGGAAUUCAGAAGGUUGACCUUUGGAGCACUGCGAAGCAGGAAGGAAGCUAAUACUGCAAAGAGUGUUUCUUUUGGCAGGUGCUACCCCCUUCCCUGUGCCAGGACCCCUCUGUGAACCAGAGCCUUCAGGGCACCAGUGCUGGCUGCAGCACAAAGCCAGGCUUAGUAGCUGCGACUUUUUUUCAUGUAUUUUCUCUCUCAUAUUCUUGGCUAGAUCUCUAGCAACGUACUGUAGCUCUGCUGCAGCUUUGCUCUGCUUGUUUCAGCAGAGCUUUGUCAAUUUGGAGUAGCUGAGGGCGUAACCCUCACUCCAGAGAGAUGAAAUGCCUUGUUCAGACACCGGUACCUUAUUGGAGCUGAGAACAGCACAUACAUGGAAUGUUCACAGUAAGAGCUUCUCUUUGUGUGCCACCUGCUACCAGAAUGGUGGGGAGAUCUGCAGGAGGUACCCUUCAGUAGCUGAAAUGGCACAACCGCUUUUUCAGUGAUGAGAAAUAACAUUUCUGAGCUCACUGAGUACAGUCCAGGAGUACAUAUGAUCAUAUUCUAGAAGGAACCACCCUGCCUUUGGGUACCCUGUGAUUUUUAUCUUCUUUAGUUUUCAACUUUCCCUCUUACUGCAACUGUUCUGUUACCAGCCUUUACUUUUUCAUGUAAAUACAGCUUAUUUCAGUCUUUCACAGUCAUCCUGCAUGAUAUUCCUACCCUUUGCUGCACCGGCGGUACUUCCUAAAUUUGAGAUAGCAGAAAACUUUCUUAAUAUAAAUAUUUUAAAGUAAUAUUAAUGUAACUUUCGUUUUGCAAAUACCUCUAAUGAAAUUGUUGUACAAGAGCAGUUCAUGAACAUUACUUUUUGUCCCUCUUUGUGUAGAAACUCUGUUGGUGUGGUUCUUCCUUUUCCAUCAAAGCCUGCUGUCCUGUUGCACUGGCCAAAUCACUGCCUACUGCAUGAUUGUGCUGUGAAUUGCACAUGCUGAUUUAAAUGGUAAAUUCCCAUAUGACACUAUUGUAAAUGCUUUGCCAAAGUCCAAAUAACUGUAAUUUUCUUUCUUUUUUUUUUUUUGUUUUGUUUUCCCUUUGGGGAUAAAUAGCAGAUAACUUUUGGUAAGCUCAGACUACAUUUUUCUACAUAUAUUUAAAAAUUAUCCUAGCAAAAGGAUGUAUAACUGCUGAGAUAACUUUUCAUUUUCCCAGUGUACGUGUUACCUGUGUUGUUCUCCAGGGAGCCUGUGCCCCUUUAUGGUGGCAUUCAGUGUCUUGGUUGCUCAGAACCAGGAGGGAGCUCAUCCCUUCCUGGUCCCUUCAUCCCCAUCUAAUCUCCUAGCACUUCCACUUUAUCUCCCAUUAGCCAUCCUUUAAACAUAGUCUUUCCUCCAUUACAUUCAGUAUCACUCUCAUUACAGAAAACAGAAGUAACAUACCCAUUUAGAUUUGGAGCCGUAUUUGAUUAUCUCUGAUCUUUACAUCAUUCCCAUCAGUUCCGUGUUUUCCUCUCCAUCUCCUUUUAUUUAUGUAAAUGAGGAGCCAUUUGUUAUUUUAAUUUCCUUUGCAAUGCUUCACUUUCAGCAUUUUCCUCUGUAUUUCUGCACUCUCUGAGUACCAAGUCAGUUUUCCUAUCUGAUGUUUUUCACCUUCCAUGCCAUGUAAGUGCUCAGAUUGCUUGGACUUAGUGAUUAACUUGUCUUUGUUUUAAAAGAGAGAUGAGGUCUUGUGGCAAGAAGCAUGUCCCAGGCAUUGGCCCCAUCCUUCGGUAGUAGUGGCACUGGGAGUGAGGUCAUUUCCACUACUUGAAGUGGGACAGAGGAAACCGGAGCUUGGCAGUGCCUUAGAUUUUUGCCAGGUGAUAAAUAGGACAAUAUAUUUCAGGACUGCACUGGCAACCUGGUAUGUCUGAUCUCUCUGUGAGUAAUAGCCAUUUUGAAAUGAUUAUUCAUCCUGCUAGAUCUGAAGCAUUUCUCUAGAAGUGUUGUUUUUCUGCCCUCCUAACUUAAGUGAAGGUUUCUUUGAUCUGAAUGUCAAGUCCUUCUUAAAUUGAAAUCCUUGAGUUAUUUGGUCAACUUAUUUUCACUAGUUGUUUCCUGGUAGUUCAAUAAAUAGUAGCAGAUCUAUUUUUGUUGAUUCUUUGAUUUAAUUUUAACUGAGCCAGCCUGUGCUUGCUCAUUGCAGAAUACUUGUCUAUGAUUAGCUCUUGCAUGAUGUAUUCCCUGCUCACCAAAACCAGGUCUUAAAUGCAGCUCUCUAUAUUGCCUGCUUGGUGAAGAGAUCUGACUCUCUCUUUGAGCACCUGGACCAUAAUAUUGCUGGCCGUAUUUGUUCUGCAGUGAAGGCAUUGAACAUGGUACUGCUGUGAAUGCAUUAUGGAACCAAAGCCUUUCUUGAUGCUGUUCUCCAGUUGCUCAAAGGUUCAGUAGAACCAACUUUAACUGUCCUUCCUUGGAAUUAUUUUGGCUUGAACAGAUUGCCUUCAGCCUGUGCUGCCUUGUCUUUGCUUUCUAACCUAUUGUGUUGUGGUGCUACAACAUCCAUCUGCCAAGAUAAUCUUUAUUUCCAUCUUUCCUGAACAGCAUGUACCUUUCAAGGAUUUGCAGAGCACAGGUAAAUAGAGCAGCUUUUAGGACUGUUUUUUCCUUAUGCCUUUCAAGUUCUUUAUUCUGCUCUAGUGGAGACUGAGUAGCCCUUUCUCCAGCUUUUCUUAACCUAAUCUCCUGCCUUAGGCUGGCAGGGAAUGGAGGCACGUACUUUCACACAAAAUCACGUGGAGUUUCUCAUGCAGAAUUUUACUGUGAGAUUCCAACAAUAAUAAUAUUUCUUUUAAAAUUUUAUAAAGUCUUGCUUUCCAAAUGUGCAAGAAAAGCAGUAAAAUCUUCUCCUGGAAACCUGUUUGUCUUGUCUGAGGAACAGGUAUUUCAGGGUCUUCGCUGGGAAUAUCUGAGCUCUAAAAAAACCAUGCUAAUGUUCACCUCCACUCUGGAGCAAGCCUGUGCUCUUAGCACAUUCACCACAUAUCUUCCCUGUCUGAGAUGUGCCAGAGACAGCAAUCUCCUUGGGUUUUCCCCAUCCUUUAUUGUGUAUUCCAUUAUCCAUCUGCUAUGAAUCACUCAUAAACCAAGCCUAAUCAUUGACAAAUACGUGAAGAACUAAUUUGCUGUUCACAAGAUGAGAUGAAUUGAGUUGAAUAAUGAAGGCACUGAUGCCACUAACUUGAUUUGAUUUGUAUAUGUUUAGACACAUUUAAAGUCAAUGGAGAAGUAUUUGCAACGUGCAGAGCUCAAAUGUUUCCUGGUUAUUAUCUUCCCUUUUGUAAUAAUCAAAUUCAUUUGCAACUAACCACAACAAAGCAACUCAAUAACAAAAGAUUUAUACCAUGUUGGCACUUGAAAUGGUCAUUUGAUUUCCAAUGGGAGUCUGUUGGCAGGUAGAUCCUCAGCAGUCCUCAUUUUCAGAUCUACCUAUUUAUUCGAUCCGUAUGAUUUACCAUGCCACAGAGAUGAGUGUAUUACAGCUUCUGCAAGUAAACUAGAUGCUACAUUAGAUAGCCAAGUCUCCUAGAGCUAUUAGCCAUAUAAAGCCAAGAUAAAUUGUUUUCCUCGUGUUAGGAAAUCAAGGUGAGCCUGCUAGAAACAAUAACAAUAUAUCAAUAUUUUAAGUUUUCUAUUAAGCUCCAUUUGCCUGCAGCUCUUCCAGCUGAGGGCAGAGUGGGUUGACCAGCUCAAGGAAGUAACAUUUCUAACAUCCCAACUCAAAAAGGUACAGGGCCAUAUUGUGGAAAAGAAGCUUGUAUGCUAUGAAGUAAUGUUUUCUUGAAUGUCAAUCAUGCUUGUAAUGUUAACUUGAUGUCAAUCAUGCUUUUUAGUUGCAGAAGCCUAUUGUUUAUUGCAGUGGUGCAUUUUGUGUAAGUUCCUUCCUAAUUUACGAUGAUUCACAUUGAUAGACUUCUAGUCUAUGACACUGCCAUCGCAAAUGAUAAUUUAUAACAGCUUUAGCUCUGUUCUUUCAGUGCUGGUUUUCAAGGACUGGAGCCAAGAGCUAUUCACCAGAAGUAAAUCUGGGAGGAAGUUCACUUACUAUGAAUAUUAAUUAAUGUUUAUAUACUACGGUUUAUUUUGUUAUGCAGUGAUUUAAUUCAGACCAUCCAGAAUAGUGCCGUAUGGGUGAAGAGAAUCAGUAGCCAUGUGCUCAAUUCAUUUCAGAGAUAAACCUGCUUCCGUUCAUUUUCUUUUAUGGCAUAACCUGAAAACAAGCUUUCAUCAUUGUGGCAGAAAGGAGUGUGCAUAAGGCGGUGACAAGUGGUGCUUCUCUGUUCUCUGUAAUUAUGCAAUAAAGAGAAGAUGUUCAGAUUCACCUCCAAGCCCUUCCCCUGUGUUGUUCUUCCCAUGUGAGAGUUAACCUCUUCACUUCGCUGCUUUCUUCUUAUUCAGUCUAAUCAUCUCCUUGUGGAGAUACUAGUGGAAGUGAUUGAGACAAAGGGAUGUAACAUCAUCUUGGUGCUGAAGAGCUUUCAGAGGAGGUAAGUGUGUGACUUCCCAGCAGAGUGAGAGAAGAAUAGCUGAAAAAUCUUUCUUCAUGUCUAAGAAAAACAGGAAUGGCCAGGUCAUUGCAGGUUGCUAACAUCUUUGUAUUUUUCAUGUUGCAUUGUUUUAUACUUUGUAAUCAAAAGCUAGCACGUUAUUAGGCUAUACUCUCAAAAGAUGCCUCUCAUAUUAAAAUCCAUGACAUGAAGAAAAAAAAAAAAAAGAAAAAACACACUGGAGACUGUUAGCUCCAGCAGUUUUUUUUUUUUCCUGACAUCAGCUCUUCCCUGCCUUAAAAUAUGACCCCAAAGGCCUGAGCCUUCACCCCAGUGAAGGAGGCUGGAUGUGGGAGCCAGCCAGCAGAGCCUGCUGGGUCCAAGCCCUCUUCUGUAAGAGGGAGAGACAGCUGUGGCCCCGGUCUCUGGGCUGCCUCCUUCCCUCUGCCUGCAGAGCACAGUCCCUCAGCAUCCCAUGGCCUCUCAGAAAGCUGCUGUUGAUGCCUGUCCUAUUCCAGCAGGCACACCAGCCUGGGGAGACCCUUCCAUGCAUCUUGUACGCAUGGUAUAGCAAAUAAGCCAUAAAUAGUUUGUGCCUACUUCAGUAAGUAGCUCAGCAGUGUAGCAUGCUAUUGUAAUGGAGAAAAACCCUUAUUCCAUUAAAUUAAAUGUUAGGAAAAAUACCUGGACCUUUAAGGUUAAGGAAUUUUGAUCCAUUCAGGUGGCACAGAACAGCCUUCAGUGCACUGCACAGCCUAAGGAGAGAGCAGAGUGAUGCCCACUGUAUUUACUAUCAUGUUUGUUUUGGGAGCUAAAUUAUUCUUACUAAUUCUGCUAGCAGUGUAAUACGCUGUCUCAGUAAUGGAAAGCAUAUGAAAGCAAGCAGAUGGCGAGAGCAGAAAAAACCCAAGCAUGUCCUGAUAAUGUAGUAAGCAAGUUCAUUUUUUUGGCAUUAGGCUUUCAUAACCGAGGCAUGGUGAUAACAAGUACAGACACAUUUUUAAAGCGCAGUUCAUCAAAAAAUAUAGCCAGUUUCUUUGCAGAGCAAUGGAAGAUUACUUUGAGACUUUUAUAUAGAUAAAAGCUAGAUGUGAAUGUUGUUGAAUUAGACCCAUCAUUUAUUAUUGCUGGCAGAUGAGUGACAGCAGAUACUGGUCAGAGUGAUGCCAUCACAGUCCUGUGAUCGCUCAUAUCUUUACGAAUGUGGAUUUUCUCACCCAUUCAUUUGCAAAUAUGUAGCCACCCUCUAUUCCAGAAAAAUCACAGACACUUUGAUGCAGGGUGUUAUUGCAGUGGGCAGUAUUGGAAAUUCAAAGUAUUUUAUUUUGCUUUUAAGGUAUUCCAUCUCUGGUUGGAAGUUUUGAAGUUCAAGGUUGUUGCUUCUUAAACAUCUGGAUAUCUACAGCACGUGUGGAUCCCACCUGGCUAUGGCCCCAUUCCUCGCAGGGAGGGCAGUGUAUGGGGAGUGCUCCGUGCUCAGCAUGUCUGGAGGAGACGAAUGGCCUUGCCUCGCUGCCAGGGCAAACAGUCCUAGCAAGGGGUUUGGGGGGGGGGGGGCAGGAGCAGAACCAGCCUGACUACCUCCAACUCACAGGUUUUUUCUUUUUUUUUCUUUAAAGUCUCUCAGGCCAAAAUAUGGGCAGAAGCAAGGCCAGCUUCACUGUUUACGUGAUCUAUCAUUUUAAGGUUCUUCAGAGAAGGGAUACAUUAAGUUUUGUUAUGAUUUCAUUUUGAAGCAAUGCAGUUACAUCUCUGUGUGACAUCUCAAGUGGCUCCAGCCAUGCACUGUGAGAUGUGGCUGCAAGCAAAGCCCUGCCUUCGGCUUCCAGGAGUUUGCUUCAGAGGGAGUACGGGAGGAGGAGCUGCCAAUGCUGCUGUGCGGGGAGCAAGUGCCAGUGCUCAGUUUAGGGAGCAAACAGAACUGAGCAGUGAUCUCUUCUGCAGGGGAGGAGGUGAAAAGAGACAGCCCUCUUUCUCAUGAAACCAUGUAAUUGGUUACGGUGCUCUUUCUUCAUCAUUCAGUAACACAGCAUGUAAGUAACACAAGGGUUUUUUUUAAUAUUUCAUAUGCAUCUGGUUCAUUCCCGACUUGAAGAAACAAAGGCAAGAAAGCUUUUCUGAUUGCAUACUCUCUCUGAGGGCCUUGCUCUUGCUGCUUCCUGAGAAAAGUUGUCUCCCUUUAUCUUUUUUUUAGCAAUGGAUGCUGAUUUAACCUCCCAGGAGAUCAUGUUUUUUUUCUUCUGUGUUGCUUUUAGUGUCUCUGGGAAGUGGCAGGUGGCACUAUUCAGGAGAUGCCUUUGAUGGCCCCAUGUCCUCACCAUUUCAUUACCCAGGCAGGAGGUAGGAUUGCUGUUGCACCCUGUUUCCUGCUGUUUUCUGCUCCCACAGCUGUGCCACCCAUCUCACUGCUGUGGCUUCCCCUUGUGGGGCCUGGGGACAGAUGCAGAAGCCAAGUGACACAGGCCUGAAUUGCUGCCAGGGCAGGGCCUGAGGCUGUCUCCUGGCGGAGCCUGGGCAGGGGCUGAAAUGCUCAGCAGAGAUGAGAUGGGACAGGGCCUGCUCUAACGUGGAAGACCCAGCUUGAACCUCUAGGGCUGGGAGACCCUGUGCUGACAGCUAGAGGUCAGGGCACAUUGCUUCCCUCUGCCAUCUGUAAAUCCUGCCGGCAGUGGCACCAGACCUUGCUCCCACCUUGUUUAGGCUAAAGCCAGUGGGCCUGUCUUCAGAGCAAAGUGCUGCUCUCCCUGUGGAAAAAUCUUGCUCCUGAGUUUUGCUCAAUAAUCUCCACAGCAAGCAGCUUUUGGUGCACUGUCUGUAAGCAACUGUUCUUUUUGGUGUUUGUCCUGCAGUGAGCUAUAGUGUGUUGUGUCUCCAUACCUCUAGACAAGGCUGUGUAAGUAGUAGAGGACUUUUCCAACAGCUGAUGCCUACUACUGCUCACAGCCAGCAUAAAGCCUUCCUGCUGCCAGGCCUGCCUGCCCACGGCUGCUGUGUUUAUUUCUGGGGUCAGAGGGGAAGGGGUAUCUGGGUGUUUUAAUUAGCUAAUUCUAACAGAAACAAGUGGCACUAUGGCCACUUCCCAAAUAGAGGCAUCUGUUUGUGGAGUUCUGGCCCCAUUGGGCAGCACCAGGUAGGACCCAUCUGGCCAAGUCAUCGCUGCAGCUGUGCUGGGCAGCCCAGGAGCCCACUGGCUCCUCCCAGGUGUUCUGGAGCAGGCCAGGGGCAUUGCUUCCCUCCCACUGCCCACGCACUGCUGGAAGUGGCACAGCCCAGCUACUCGCAAAACCCUUCUGAAGUUUUUUCCCCUCUGUCUCACACAUCUGAGUCUUGUAACCUUGCUGCUGAUUCAUUUUCAGGAGGGACAGAAUAUAUUACAGAGCCGAAAUCUCAUGGGCAAAUAAUAAGUCAGCACCUGGCUGGAGCCCACAGGCUGCAACCUUCCAUCUCCUCCGAUGUUUGUAUUUUCCUCUGCAGGAAAGAGCAAUGUGUCUUUCAGCAUUUCUGCCACUGAAGAUCCUCUUCUCCAGCCUCAAGUUGAAAAAUCUUUGUGGCAGAUUUGGCAUUGCCUGUAAUAAUUUAUGAACGUGAUGUGUUGACAUGUUUACUGUGUGCAUACAUUGAGCUACUUCAAUCGCUGGCUUGUCAGGAAGUGUACCCAGGAGAGAACAGAUGAAUCCAGGCACACAGUUUGGAGGAAGCACUGGGGAGCUGAAGCAAGCACCCUUUGCUGUGAUUUUUUGGCUGGGCCCCUGCUGGGCUCACAGGAGAGGUUUCCCUGGAAGAACAUGGGUGCCAGUGAAGGAAGGCACAGAAGACCCUGGGAAAAUCACAGAGAACCAUUUAAAUGGAGGCUUUGGAGAGCAAGAACCCAAAAGGGACUGAAAGUGCUCAGAUCUGCAGAUGUCUAAUUCAGUAGAUGUUGACAAGACUGCAAGAUAAAGUGGAUGUGGAAUAUUUUUUUAACUGCCAUGCCUUAUUUCAGCAGUUAAAUGGCUCUUCUGUUUUAUAAGCAUUGUUUGGGUUGUGCAAGAGAGCUGAAUGCCUCUGUUCCCACAUCCAUGUGGGAGCGUGGUGAUUGUGCUGGGUAGGCCAGCUGAAGCUUGGCGAAGCUACCUCACUCUACCUGUGGGAAGGUGAGAGCUUGAGGCCUGGCAAAAGCAGAUGGGAAGUCAGAAAGACCACUGACAGCUGAGAUCCAGUAGUAACCAUAACAACACCGUCAUCUUUCUUAAAAGUCCCAGCACGUAAUUCUACUAAUGACUUUUAUUAAACAUUUAAGCCUUAGCCUUCAAGUGAUUCAUAUUUGUUACAAAACACCAUUGCAUUAACACAAAGCACAAGCCAAAACAAAGUUAAUGAGCCCUAAUGCUUGCUGGAUAAUUCAAAGUUUAAGAGUGAUAUUAACAAAAAUAAAAUACAGAAGAAAUCUA